UACGUAGGGUGCAAGCGUUAAUCGGAAUUACUGGGCGUAAAGCGCGCGUAGACGGUUUUGUAAGUCAGAUGUGAAAUCCCUGGGCUCAACCUGGGAACUGCAUUUGAGACUGCAUGGCUAGAGUAUGGAAGAGGGAAGUGGAAUUCCGGUGUAGCGGUGAAAUGCGCAGAUAUCAGGAAGAACACCCGUGGCUAAGGCGGCUCUCUAGUACGGUACUGACGCUGAGACGCGAAAGCGUGGGAGCGAACAGG
rnacentral:rRNA from 1 species